AUAGGGCUGCACCUGCGGCAUAUGGAAGUUACUAGGCUAGGGGUCGAAUCAGAGCUGUAGCUGCUGGCCUACACCACAGCCACAGUAACACCAGAUCCAAGCUGCGUCUGUGACCUACACCACAGUUUGUGGCAAUGCUGGAUCCUUAACCCAUUGAGCGAGGCCAGGGAUCAAACCCAUGUCCUCAUGGAUACUAGUCUGGUUGGUUACCACUGUGCCACGACAGGAACUCCCACCAAAUCGUGGGGUCUCCUUGGUCUAUGAACCCCAAAGCUUAUGGUCUUUCACCUCUAAUAUGUCUCCUUCAAUCACCUAGUAAGUUAAAACCUAUUCUAGGAGUAGAAGUAAAACAUUUCCUGGCCUUGAUCAAUUCUUCUUACUUGCCAGCUAUUUUUGAAUAUGAAUAUUCUCUGCUUGUUUUUUUUUUUUUUAAUAGACUCAUAGGUGAACAGCAACGAGGAAAGGCAGAUGAGGACUCCUCAGGAAAAACGACACAAACCUGAGCAAUAAGGUAGAAUAUGUGGUCUGAAUUAGAGGAACGUGGAAAAUGAGGUGGUGAAGAGAUUCUAUAAAGCAAAUCAGACCCAAGGAUAUAGAUCUACCCUAAGGCAUUACUUAACUCAUGGAAUAAGAACAUUUGUAUAAAUUAUCCAAGGAGUUUCUGUUGUGGCGCAGCAGAAAUGAAUCCGACUAGUAUCCAUGAGGAUGUGGGUUCAAGGCCUGGCUUUAGUCAGUGGGUCAGGGAUCCGGUGUUGCCAUGAGCUGUGGUGUAGGUUGCAAACAUGGUUCGGAUCCCACAUUGCUGGACCUCUGGUGUAUGUAGGCUGGCAGCUGUAGCUCCAAUUCAACCCCUAGCCUGGGAACUUCCAUAUGCUAUGGGUGGGGCCCUAAAAAGUGGGGGAAAAAAAAAAAGAGAAAAAAAAAUUAUCCAUGCCAUUGUUUCUCUCCAUGGAGUAUAUUGUAUUUCCCAUAUGUGGUUUGAGUAGGUUUCCUAGAGUAGAUUGAUCCCCAGUGGUAUCUUGAAUGAUAGGAGAAAAAAAAUAGCUUAGCGUUUGGUAAAGAGAUCUAAUUUGCAGGCUGAAAAGCCAGUGGUAUUGAAGGAACUAACACAAAUUAAAAAAAAAGCAAACUUGGAGUUCCCGUUGAGACUCAGUGGAAACAAAUCUGAAUAGCAUCCAUGAGGACAUAGGUUCAAUCUGGGGCCUUGCUCAGUGGGUUAAGGAUCUGGUUUUGCCAUGAGCUGUGGUAUAGGUCGCAGACAUGGC
rnacentral:lncRNA from 1 species